AGGGCCCCCCCCGCAGGGGAGCCUGCGGCUUAUUUUGACUUAACCCGGGAAAACUCACCCGGCCCGGCCACUGGAAGGAUUGACAGAUUGACAGCUUUUUCUUGAUUCUGGGGGGGGGGGUGGAUGGCCGUUCUUGUUUGGUGGGGCAAUUUGUCUGGUUAAUUCCAAUACCAAACAAAACUCUCGCCUAUUAAAUAAUUGUUGGGUUUCUAAAGCCCAUGAAGCCUCUUUAAGGGACAGGGGGCGAAUCGGCCGCCUCAAACAAAACAAAAAAAAGGCUUUGAUGGCCGUAAAUGGACGGGGCGCCCCGGCGCUUCCCCCAAGUGAACCAUGGGGAAUCUUUUCCCAAUCCCACCAAAAUGUGGAAACCCAAGGAACCUUUUUUUGACUUGGGCAGGGGAUUGUGGAUAAUUUCCCUGGUAUGGUAAUUCCCUGAAGGUGGGUGGUUUAGCGGGCGCUUGUUUGGUUCUCGGCUUUUUUAAAUACCGCCCUUCCCUCCAACCAAUGUAUUUUUCGGGG
rnacentral:rRNA from 1 species